GCCGCCGGAAGGGCUGCUGGGCAGAGCGCCCCCUGCCGCCAGGCGUGUGUGUUUCCCCCCCCCCAGCGGCGCGGCGGGGGAGGCCCCCGGCCUGAGGGGGUCGUAGGCCGAAGGCCGGUGCGGCGGCGGGUUGGGCAGCCCGCCGUACGGCCUGGGAGGUGGGUGGCGGGUGCGGGAGCGAGCUGCAGCUGGCAGCGAGCGAAAACAGGCCCGGGCACAAGGGGCCAUUGUUCCUCGGGCCCGGGCAGUGGCGGGCGGGGCAAGGCCAGCGCUGAAGGGACGAGGAGCCUCUGCCACGCUCGCCGGGCGGGGGGACACCACGGGGGAGACGGGCGGUCGCCACCUGGCAGCUCAUAGCCAUGGUGACCCCGGCGGCUGGUGACCGCCAGAGGCCGCGGCAGGGAGGGCGCUCGGCCCAGGGCAACCACAGGCCUGCCUGCCCGUGCCAAGAGCAGAAAGUGGAGGUACUCCAUCACCCGGCUGAAGGUUAUCACCCCGGGUGCCCACCAGAAACCACUGCCGGAGCAUGGGUACUGGGUGCUGCACCUACAGCGGUGGCGGGGAACCUGCCCCCAUCCGUGGGGUGACAGCCUCUGUCACCAUCCCAGGGGAACGCCGGUUGCCUUUGGCUACCGCCAGCUCCACUAGAUUAGAAGGAAGAGAGCAGACUGACUCAUUCCAGCCUGGGACCAGGGCACGCUUCCGUAGUGGUGUUGCUGUUGACGGUUGCAUCCUGCCAGCCAUGUGCGGCAGCCAGACUAGAGCUGUGCCAGGAGACUGGAAAUGGCAGGUUGCAAGAUGUGGUUGAGAAAUGGAACUCCUGGGCUGUGGCAGGAGCCGUGCCCUUGGAUUUUGGAGUCUGACAGAGGAAGAUGACCUGGCAGCACGCGUUACAUGCUGGAAUGCACGGGGGACUUGGCAACGCUUGCUACAGCAGGUCUCAGAACUGCUUGGUGUCCAGAAAGAAGAGAAGACCUCUCUCUGGAGGCCCAUGCCUGUGCGUAUGCAGAAGACUCUUCUGAUGCCCCCACCGCAUCUGGUGAGUGCGUUCUUCAGAGGCUGACACUGAUGUCCACGAGAGGGAAGCUGUGGACAGCACACUGGUGGAGGACGGUGGAGACAGGUCCUAUGGGCAGGGCGGUGACAGACCUCCUCCGCGAGGCCGCUGAUCUGGGAUAAAAUGACUUGCUGUCCCGCAGACGCCAGUUGUCCUACCACUCCUGGAAUGUCCUAGAGAUGCUGCCCAGGUUGUGCUGGAGGCGGUGGAGGACGGCAGGGAAAGGGAGGAAGAAGGAGCUCAGCAGGCAGCCAGGAGCAGGCAAGUGAAGGGCAAAAUGGCAGAGGGAUGAAUGGCGCCGCUGCCCUCAACUCCACCUUCUCCCACCUACCUCCGGCUGCUGCCGGGCAGCCUCCCCCCAGCACCCUCAGCCAAAGGGCAGCUGCCACGGCAGGAGCAUUUUACAAGCAAACUGAGUAUCACGUCGUGAAGGUAAAUAAACAGUAUGCUAAAAAAUCCUGCCUUGUUACCUGCUGCUUCCAGGGACCGAUCAUUCUGGCCAGCGAAACAGAAAGAGCUUCUCGAUGUGUCCAAAUGUUCCAGGGCCCCUGUGGAUGCCUGUAAGACAAAGAAAUCCUCGUUAUCACAAGUCAGAGCUACCCACAGCCGUUUUCUCAUUAGUUCCCUUCAUCUGUGCCUCUUACGUAAUCCUCGCCCAACAACUAACUCUGACCUCAGAUGAAGGGCACCCUGAGCGAAGGACGGCUCCGAUUUCAUCCUCAAACGCGACAAUUCAUAUUUGGGAUGCUAGAGCCAGCUUGUGGUGGCUGCAGCUUGUGUUGCGCGGCAGCGAUUACUUUCAGAAUAUUUUGCUCGUGUUAAGGAUGUGUCUGUCACGCUGUGAGUGAGAACCACGACCUCCAUCUGUGCUGUGUGAGCAAAGAGAGGUUCACAAAAAUCACGACUGAAAACUUCCCUUUCCAGUCUUCUGACAGGCUGUAUCACCCCUCGUCAUUCCCUUCUGCUCCUCUUGCUUCCUCUCCUUGUGUUACCUAUCCUGCUUCCCAGCCCUCUGCAGUAUUUAAACAUAUUUAAACGCGUUCCCUCUCAGGAAGCCCAUUUCCCAAGGCAAAGUUGGCUGAUGGUUGAAUUCUUGGGUAUUUGCUCUUGACUUCAGGAGGCAGCAUCAUGAAAGAAGAACAAAACUGAUUAUCUGCCUGGAUUCUUAAUGGACACAGGACAGAAUAGUGUGUAUUAAAUACAUAAAUGCAUUCAAACGCAUUCCCUCCACACAUUGAGAUUUUGCUAGUUUCACUGUAAGUGAAAGGACAGAUACUGUCUGUGUCUGAAUUUAUGUAAAUCUAAGAAAAGUUAAUGCAAAUAGACAAGCUUCUGCUCCUUUGUUGUUCAGCAAACAGUUUGGAAGAGUUUUGUAACCACUUAUGAGUUAGCUCACAGAAUAAAAUUCUUGAAAUACCCAGUAUUGUGUUUUGCUUUUGCUCAGAAAAUGGCUCAGAGUUAGUUCAGCCUUCAACAUAAACAACGAAGUCCCUGCCCCCCAACAGAAUAGAAUGACAAGACUAGCAAGGUAUUACAACAAAAUGCAUAAAUACUUGCUUCUAGGUGCAUGCACCUUCCAUAUACUAGAAGCUAUACCAUGUGUGAAAGCCCGGACCUGUAUGGAAGCACAUGCUCACGUAUGAAGACACACACAUGCAAGCUUAACACAAGCCUCAGCAGAAAAGCACUGUAUUUUCUGUACUUACAAAAGUAAAUGCACAUAACAGAGAGAAAACAUCACCACUAUACUGCCUCUAGACACAUGCACACACCUGCAUAAACACAAGGCACAAACAGGGUACAGCGCAAAAAUCGUAACUUAUUGUACCGAGAAAAUUACAUUCAUAUUGU